rnacentral:lncRNA from 1 species
AUUAAUCACAUGGCGGAGAUAAAAAGAGUUUGAUUGAUUGAGUAUGUUUUAGAAGUGAAUGACAAAUGUUUGAUAUGAACAAGACAUAAGCCUCAGGAUCAAACAUUCGGGGUUCCACUGAAAUGCUAGAUUCCAAUGGUCAUUUUUCACUCUAGUUGUUUUUUAAGAAAAUUGUUUAAAGGAUAAUGAACACUUGAUAAGAACAAGACACAUGCCCUAGAAUCAAUUGUUCAAGGGUUACACCAGAAUGCUAGAUUCCAACGGACCUUUU